CCCUUAGAUGUCCUGGGCCGCACGCGCGCUACACUGAUGCAUUCAACGAGCCUAUCCUUGACCGACAGGUCCGGGUAAUCUUUGAAUCUGCAUCGUGACGGGGAUAGAUUAUUGCAAUUAUUAAUCUUCAACGAGGAAUGCCUAGUAGGCGCAAGUCAUCAGCUUGCGUCGAUUACGUCCCUGCCCUUUGUACACACCGCCCGUCGCUCCUACCGAUUGGGUGUGCUGGUGAAAUGUUCGGAUCGGCCGUUUGUCGCGGUUUCCGCGUCAUGUGGCUGAGAAGUUCAUUAAACCCUCCCACCUAGAGGAAGGAGAAGUCGUAACA
rnacentral:rRNA from 1 species